rnacentral:antisense_RNA from 1 species
GGACUCAGAAAGGCAAAACAGCUUGCUCAAGGGCUCACGACUAUUUAGGUGGUAGAGCUAAGAUAUGAACCUACCUCUGACACCAAAGUGCACUUCAACACCCUACUAUCACCCAACAAAGAAUUCUGGCCACAGAAUCACCUUGCUGCGGUAUUCCUGACUGAAUCAAGAUACGCUGGGGAAGAGGCAUCUGAAGAUAGCCCGGGUUCUGACCUCGGCCCUGCUGCCUAACUGCCUGGUGACUUCAGGUAUUCUAAUCACAGAAUUACUGGAGCAUCAAGAAGUGCCUGCAUGCUUGGAAGGGCUUCCAGGCAGAUGAACACACCUCAGCACCGGGUGGCAUUUUCCCAGGGUGCAACCCGGAGCGGCUCUGGGUCACACUGACAAGCCUCUCCAACUCCCCAGGCUGGGUUGGGUGCUCCUCCCUCUCAUCCCACAGCGCUAUGUCUCAUGUCUUCUGGAAAACUUGCCAAUCCCUAGUGUAAGUGUGACUGGUCUAUUGUGAGCACCUAUUGUUCAGGGACCUCUGUUUACCUGAGGCCAGGACAAGGGCCUGGAAUGUGAGCAGGAGCAAGGGAGUGCUCGGGAAAUGGAAACAAUGAAUGAAUCAAUCAGUCAAUCAUCUCCUGGGGUGGAAGUGUCCAGCGCAGAGACUGCCACACUGCAAGAUGAAGGGGCUGGACACACGGAAGAGAGAGGCGGAACCCUGCACCCCCUCGACCUCAGCCCUACUGAGUCUCCAAUGGGGCCACGCUUCUGAGUGCACCUCCCCCUGUCAUCUGUAAUGUGAGGGGGAACCAGGCUUGAUAUGGCAUUCCCAAUCCAGGGC